rnacentral:tRNA from 1 species
GAGACGCUAGUUAAACGCUAUAACACUGCCUUGUCAGCGCAGAGUUGUGGGUUGAACCCCCGCGCAUCUCU